CGCGCCCGUCCCGCCGCCCCCGCCCGAUUAGAUACCCGGGUAGUCCCAGCCGUAAACGAUGCUCGCUAGGUGUCUGGGAUGGUGCGACCGUUUCAGGUGCCGCAGGGAAGCCGUGAAGCGAGCCACCUGGGAAGUACGGCCGCAAGGCUGAAACUUAAAGGAAUUGGCGGGGGAGCACUACAACGGGUGGAGCCUGCGGUUUAAUUGGACUCAACGCCGGAAAACU
rnacentral:rRNA from 1 species